rnacentral:lncRNA from 1 species
UCUCCUCCAGGAGCAGCGGGAGCCUCACAGAGGCCAGAGCAGAGCAGCAUCGCUCCAAGCCCGCCCCGGCCGGCACGAUGCCGCUGCUGUACCCGAAGGUGAAGCCCAACCCGCUGCAGAAAGCAAACCUCUGCUCGCGCCUGUUCUUCUGGUGGCUAAACCCCUUAUUUAAAAUUGGUCACAAACGGAAAUUAGAAGCAAAUGACAUGUACUCGGUGCUUCCAGAAGAUCGCUCCCAGCACCUCGGAGAAGAGCUGCAAGGGUACUGGGAUCAAGAAGUGUUGAGAGCCCAGCAAGAUGCGCGGGAGCCUUCUUUAACGAAAGCGAUCAUAAAGUGCUACGGGAAAUCCUACUUAGUUUGGGGAAUGUUAACAUUUCUUGAGGAAGGCACCAGAGUAGUUCAGCCUAUAUUUUUGGGGAAAAUGGUUAGUUAUGUUGAAAACUACGAUCCCAGCGAUUCUGCCGCUUUGCACGAAGCCUACGGCUAUGCGGCAGGGCUGAGCGCCUGCGUGCUCGUGUGGGCCGUUCUGCACCACUUGUACUUCUACCACAUGCAGCGCGUGGGGAUGAGGCUGAGAGUAGCCGUGUGCCGUAUGAUCUACAGCAAGGCCCUUCGCCUGAGUCGCUCUGCCAUGGGGAAAACCAGCACAGGCCAGGUAGUCAACCUGCUGUCCAACGAUGUGAACCAGUUUGACCAGGUAAUGAUGUUCUUGCACUAUCUGUGGGUGGGGCCACUGCAGGUUGUUGCAGUGACCGCCCUGCUCUGGAUGGAAAUAGGAAUGUCGUGUCUUGCUGGGAUGGCAGUUCUCAUUAUUCUUCUGCUUUUGCAAAGCUGCUUUGCGAUGUCAUUUUCAUCACUCCGGAGUAAGACCACUGCUCUCACAGACAAGAGGAUCAGGACCAUGAGCGAAGUCGUUACUGGCAUCCGAACAAUAAAAAUGAAUGCUUGGGAAAAGUCAUUUAUAGACCGUAUUACCAGACUGAGAAGGAAGGAAAUUUCCAAGAUUCUGAGAAGUUCCUACCUUAGGGGCAUGAAUUUGGCAUCAUUUUUUGCUGUGAGCAAAAUCAUGAUUUUUGUCACCUUCGUCGCCAAUGAGCUCCUUGACAACCUGAUCACAGGCAGUCAGGUGUUUGUGGUGGUGAUGCUGUUCGAGGCUCUGCGGUUCUCAAGCACCCUCUUCUUCCCCAUGGCUGUCGAGAAGGUGUCAGAGGCCGUUGUCAGCAUCCAAAGAAUCAAGAACUUUCUGUUACUUGAUGAGAUAUCACAGUGCUACCCUCAUCUGCCAUCAGAUGGUAAAAUGAUUGUGGAUGUGCAAGUUUUUACAGCUUCUUGGGAAAAGGCAUCAGAGACUCCAACCCUACAAGGCCUUUCCUUUUCUGUCAGGCCCGGUGAACUAUUAGCUGUGGUCGGACCUGUGGGCGCUGGAAAGUCGUCACUGUUAUGUGCUGUGCUGGGUGAGCUGCCCCCGAGCCAGGGGCAGGUCAGCGUGCACGGGAGGAUCGCGUAUGUUUCUCAGCAGCCCUGGGUGUUUCCAGGAACUGUGAGGAGUAACAUUUUAUUUGGGAAGAAAUAUGAAGUAGACCGAUAUGAAAAAGUAAUUAAGGCCUGUGCUUUGGAAGAGGAUUUAUGGCUUUUGGGUGCUGAAGCUAUAAUUGAGAUAGGAGACGGAGGAACCCCACUGAGUGAAGGGCAAAAAGCUCGGAUCAGCCUGGCAAGAGCUGUGUAUCAGGACGCAGACAUCUACCUCCUGGACGAUCCACUCAGCGCAGUUGAUGCAGGAGUCAGCAGACACUUGUUCGAACAGUGUGUUCGUCAGGCCUUGAAGGAGAAGAUCACGAUCUUAGUCACUCAUCAGCUGCAGUACCUAAAAGAUGCAAGUCAGAUUCUGAUGUUGAAAGAUGGCAAAAUGGUGGAAAGAGGAACUUACUCUGAGUUCCUGAAAUCCAGGGCAGAUAUUUUUUCCCUUUUUGAAAAGGGGAAUGAGCAGUCUGAACCAUCUCCAGUUCCAGGAGCUCCCACUGUGAUAUCUGAGUCUUUGGUUCAGUCUCUCCAGUCUCCCAGGCCCUCAUUGAAAGAUGCGGCUCCAGAAGACCAAGAAAUUGAGAAUAUACAGGUUACGCUACCUCUAGAAGACCACUUGGAAGGAAAAGUUGGUUUUAAGACCUAUAAGAAUUACUUCACAGCUGGUGCUGACUGGCUUGUCAUCAUCUUCCUUAUUCUAGUAAACAUCGCAGCUCAGGUUGCCUACGUCCUGCAGGAUUGGUGGCUUGCAUUCUGGGCGAAUCUACAAAGUGACCUGUAUUCUGGGGCAUUAGUAAAAGAAGAUGAAGCUGUAGUGUUCGUUCUGAACUGGUACUUAGGAGUUUAUUCAGGGUUAACUGUGUCUACUGUCCUUUUUGGUAUCACAAAGUCUCUGUUGAUAUUCUACAUCCUUGUUAAUUCUUCACAAACUGUGCACAACAAAAUGUUGGAGACCAUUUUAAGAGCUCCGGUAUUGUUCUUCCAUAGAAAUCCAAUAGGAAGAAUUUUAAAUCGUUUCUCCAAAGACAUUGGGCAUAUGGAUGACUUGCUGCCUCUGACAUUUCAAGAUUUCAUCCAGGCAUUUCUACUUGUGGUUGGUGUGGUGGGCGUGAUGGUGGCUGCAGUUCCUUGGACUGCUAUACCUGUGAUUCCCCUUGGCAUCAUUUUCUUUUUUCUUCGGCGAUAUUUCUUAGAGACGUCACAAGACGUGAAACGCCUGGAAUGUACAACUCGGAGCCCGGUAUUUUCCCACUUAGCAUCUUCUCUCCAGGGACUCUGGACCAUCCGGGCCUACAAAGCUGAACAGAAGUUUCAGGAGCUGUUUGAUGCACACCAGGAUUUGCACUCAGAGGCUUGGUUCCUGCUUUUGACGAUGUCCCGAUGGCUCGCUGUGUAUCUGGAUGUCAUCUGUGCCAUCUUUGUCACCCUUGUUGCCUUUGGGGCCCUGAUUCUGGCAGAAACUUUGACUCCUGGGCAGGUUGGCCUGGUCCUGUCUCUCACGCUCACACUCAUGGGGAUGUUCCAGUGGUGCGUCAGGCAAAGUGCUGAAGUUGAGAACAUGAUGAUUUCAGUAGAAAGGGGGAUUGAAUAUACAGACCUUGAGAAAGAAGCGCCCUGGGAACUUGGGUAUUGUCCACCACCACUCUGGCCCCCAAAUGGAAGGAUUUCCUUUUUCAGUGUGAACUUGAGAUAUAACUCGGACAGUCCUCUGGUGUUGAGGAACCUGGAAGCAUUCAUUUACCCAAGAGGAAAGUAUGGCAUCGUGGGAAGAACAGGAGCUGGGAAAAGCUCCCUCAUUGCUGCCCUUUUUAGAUUGUCAGAACCAGAAGGUGACAUUUAUAUUGAUGGAAUCUUGACAACCAGUAUUGGACUUCAUGAUUUAAGGAAGAAAAUGUCAGUUGCACUUCAGGAACCUGUUUUAUUCACUGGAACUAUGAGGGAAAAUCUGGAUCCCUUUAAUGAGCAUACGGAUAACGAACUGUGGAAUGCCUUAGAAGAGGUACAACUUAAAGAAUCCAUCGAAAGUCUUCCUGCUAAAAUGAAUACUGAAUUAGCAGAAUCUGGACUGAACUUGAGUGUUGGUCAGAAACAACUGGUGUGCCUUGCCAGGGCUCUUCUCAAGAAGAAUCAGAUAUUGAUUAUGGACAAAGCCACAUCAUACGUGGAUCCAAGAACUGAUGAGUUAAUACAAAAAAUAAUUUGUGAGAGAUUUGCCCAGUGCACUGUGCUGACCAUUGCACACAGGUUGAGCACCGUUAUUAGCUGUGAAUGGAUAAUGAAUUCAACUCCAAAAUAAGGCAACUAAUGCCUGGUAAGCUGUUAUUCACUUGCAUUUUUCCCUCCUAAAAUUUUAAAACAAAUGAAAACAACACCUUAAAAGACAUGUGAAUAGGUUCAGUGCACUUUCAGUGGCUCACAAAACAUGAGACAAAGACCACAUUAAUCCAUAAAAAAAAAUUGCUUGAUAUUUUAAAACACAAAUGACAUGAACUAAAAUAAAGGAAAAAAUAAAACACUGCA